CCUACGGGAGGCAGCAGUGGGGAAUUUUGGACAAUGGGCGCAAGCCUGAUCCAGCAAUGCCGCGUGAGUGAAGAAGGCCUUCGGGUUGUAAAGCUCUUUUGUCAGGGAAGAAACGGUCUACUCUAAUACAGUGGGCUAAUGACGGUACCUGAAGAAUAAGCACCGGCUAACUACGUGCCAGCAGCCGCGGUAAUACGUAGGGUGCAAGCGUUAAUCGGAAUUACUGGGCGUAAAGCGUGCGCAGGCGGUUAUAUAAGUCAGAUGUGAAAUCCCCGGGCUCAACCUGGGAACUGCAUUUGAGACUGUAUGGCUAGAGUGUGUCAGAGGGGGGUAGAAUUCCACGUGUAGCAGUGAAAUGCGUAGAUAUGUGGAGGAAUACCGAUGGCGAAGGCAGCCCCCUGGGAUAACACUGACGCUCAUGCACGAAAGCGUGGGGAGCAAACAGGAUUAGAUACCCUGGUAGUCCACGCCCUAAACGAUGUCUACUAGUUGUCGGGACUUAAUUGUCUUGGUAACGCAGCUAACGCGUGAAGUAGACCGCCUGGGGAUACGGUCGCAAGAUUAAAACUUAAAUGAAAUUGACGGCUGAGACAGACGACGACGACGACGAGGGAGGAGG
rnacentral:rRNA from 1 species